rnacentral:rRNA from 1 species
GACGAACGCUGGCGGCGUGCUUAACACAUGCAAGUCGAACGGUAAGGCCCCGGCUUGCUGGGUUCCACGAUUGCGGAAGGGGGGAGAAAAACGCGGGGGUCCUCCCCCGAACUUCGGGUAAUGCCUGGGAAACUGGGUCUAUUACCGGAUAUGACCGCUCCGUGCGGAUGUGUCUGAAGUUUUUUCCGUGUGGGAUGGCCCUGCGGCCUAUAAGCUCGUUGGUGGGGUAAUGGCCUACCAUGGCGGCGACGGGUAGCCGGCCUGCGAGGGUGGACGGCCACAUUGGGACUGAGAGACGGCCCAGACUCCUACGGGAGGCAGCAGUGGGGAAUAUUGCACAAUGGGCGGAAGCCUGAUGCAGCGACGCCGCGUGGGGGAUGACGGCCUUCGGGUUGUAAACUCCUUUCUCCAUCGACGAAGGUUUUCUGACGGUAGAUGGAGAAGAAGCACCGGCUAACUACGUG